rnacentral:lncRNA from 1 species
UUGUAUUAUUACAAAUUCAAGAUGUAAUAAUAUAUAGGUGACGUAAAGAAAGAUUUGAUUACUAGUUAAAAGUUACUUGAUUGGAAAUGUAUUAACUUUAAGGGCUUGUUUGGUUCGAGAGUGGAAUUAGAAUGGAUAAUGAAAUGAGAAUGAAUUGAAAUGGUAAUUGGAAUGGCCCACUCUCCUAAGACGUUUGGUUUAUUUGUGGAUUGAGAAUUUAAAUGAGUUAUUCACAUUUCAUUGUUUGGUUCGUAUAAACUAAAAAAAUUAUAGAAUACUAUAAUACUAAUUUUACUCUCAAAUAUAAAUUUAUAUUAUUUAAAAUUUAUGAAAAAUAUAAUACUAUUCUCUAAUAAGUUUUUCAAAAAAAAUAUCAAAUUUAUUUUUAAAAACUUUUAUUGAUGUGAGUUAGGAAUAGAAUUUUGAGAGAAGAUAAGUUUUUUUUUUUUUUUUUGAUGAGAAAAAGGUGAAAAGAAGGAGGGUGAGAUGGUCACAUGGGCUUCGAGAACUUAGUAGGCUUCCGGAAUGAAAUCUUAAUCCGGACUAUAAGACCGGAAUCAAGUUGAAGGCUAAUGGGCCGUUCCCAUUCCAGUCCGGAAUAGGAAUCUCAAACCGAUUCAUGCGAACCAAACAAAAUUAACCGGAUUUGAUCAAACCGAUUUUCAUUCCAUAUCCAAAAUGGAUGAACCAAACAAGCCCUAAGUGAAAUAAACAGUAUAUAAGAAACAAAAAAACUUUAGUGUU